ensembl:lncRNA
ACGUUUUUAUUUUUGUGUAAAAAAAGGCAAAUUUAGUGAAUUAUUUUCAUCUUGUACACAAAGUUAUAAUUUUAAUGCUUUUUCACAUCCAUGCUGAAAAUCUGCGGUCUCAUAAAAAUGAAAGUAACAUUUAAUUUCUCCAAAAGCAUUUUUCCCCACUUAUGUACAUUGCAUGAGAAAGCCUCCAAUACUCCCUCAUUGACCACACAAGUUACCAAGAAAAUAAAAGAUAAAUUUGUACAGAUAUUGAUUUAUAUAUCAAAUACAUACAGAAAUGAUGUAAAAACCCUAUUUGUUUCAUCUCCAUUCCCGCCCCAGCGUUCCCCCGGGCCGGAGCUGAUGCCCGCGUGUAUAAAUGGCUGUGGCUUUGUUUUAAAUAUGAAAAUUAAAAGGAAGAAAAAUUCAGUUUAAAUCACAGUUUUUAAAAAUCCCUUCCCAAUAAAGGAUUGUUACCAAAUAUAUUAGCACCAUUGUACAAAUAUUGACAGGAGAGGGUAUUCACAUCACAUAAAACAACAAGAAGAACAAACAAACACUGAAACCCGUGUUAGUAUCCGUAGAACAAAGAGUUGAUAACCGCCUUUGCUUCCUCGGGUGCAGCAAGGAAAGGGUUUGAGCUGUGCUCCAAUGACAAAACUCAAAGACCACCAGGAGGGUUCCAGCAAUAGAGGGGAGCUGCAGACAGGCGCAGCAUCCUGCUCUGCCCAGUGCUGACAGUCUGACCCCACUGAAAGCUCCGCAUUGGACACUGCUCUGCUUUCUGCCCAGCGAGGCGGCUCAGAGCGAAGCCAACGGCACCCAGAAGCACACUGCUGAUGGAUGCUUCCCAUGCACAGCAAAGCCUGCGCCAUGGGUACCAGAAGGGACCUGUAACCCAUGGCUGAAGAGACAUCCUCUAAACACCACGUGGGAUUUGCUCAGGUUUCCAUAAACCUCGAGGAAAUGACCUGAAUCCUUGACAUGGUUCGCUUAUGACAGAUUCCACCACACCUGACAAUUAAACAGCAUCAGGAUCUUCUGAAUACGGACACAAAUGUCUCUCCUAUGUCUCAACACAAAACUGACAGAGUCCCGUGCACAUCAGAACGCAGGGCAGCUCAGACACAUAGUGUUUGAUCAAAGGAAACUUGUUUUUAAACAACACUAUAAAGACUGACAGACUUCCAAUCUGAUUCCUACGUUUCUCCAGCACAGGAAAUGCAUUCAAAGUGCCAUCUUUGCCUCUCAGCAGCCUAAGCUCACAGGUCAGCGAUGCCUGGGAAGCCAAGCUCUGACCUGGGCAAUGCAUGGAAGCCCAAGGUUUCCUGGCUUGGCGACAUCCCUUGCCAUCACAGCCCAAAUUUUCACAUCAAGAAACAAAUUAAUGCACAUUUUUCUACCGUACUGACAAGUAACUGAUAAGAAAAGCAAGAAUGUGCCCAACUCAUUCCAGCUGCCGGUGGUGAUUUGGAAGUCGUCACAUCAAAAAACAUGAACGAAAUCAAUAGUGAUGUACUUACCAAACCAAAUUAAUGCUUGCAGAACUGGAUUUUAUGGCAGCAUAAAUGUAGAGCAUGGGAACAAGAAUAAAAAAAAAUCAAGGCUCAAAAUGUCAUUGACAAUGGUCUCUAAACCUACUCCUCCAACCCAGGGUGUUCAGAAGAAAUGCCCCAUGAGGGUCAGGCUCUGAGAGGACGGAUCUGAAGCCUACCAAGAGAAAGUCCUUUCGCUAUGGCUAUUGCAGAGAGCUGAAGUGCCUUCACCACCUUAAGUUACAGAUACCUACAAUCCAGUAACCAGAUGCUGUCAGUGUACGAAGCUGUUGUUAAAAAGGGGUCAAUACAGACAUUUUUACUGGUAAGGGAAAAUUCCAGACAUUCCUAUGCUAAACAGGACAGCUUUUUUAAUUCCAGUAGUAAAUACAAAACUUUACAUAAUUAACCCCUCUUGCAUAGAAUGAGGUAAACCUGUGCAUAUUACCAAUACUACGUACCCAAAGUUAGAGCAAUAUUUUAGAAAAGAAUCAAUUUGCUGGUUUUCAACUUUCUAUGCACGUUUUCCUUUUAGGUUUGAACAAUACACAAAAAUGGUCUCCUGGGGCUCUGUGGGCUGAUGUCCUUAAAGCAUUUCUUAGGCUGCAGGAACACAGAAGUUAACCGUUUUGAUCACAAAUUUGAAGCCCUAGCUCAUGGUUAAGAGUCAAAUAAUCACUGUACUGCUCUGAAGGGGACCUACUAAGACCCAGAAGCACUUAUAGAACAUAUGCAGUUAAUUCCUGAGAGUUUAGUUAAUGAACCUUACUGGUAAAAGCUAAAGCUCUUGAUGCACAUUUUUCCAGUCACAGCUCUGCAGGGCGAUUGAUAACUUUACUCAUCAACUCCAUCAAUGAAGCCAUCUACAGAAACAUACAAAGUUUAAAACCAAGGAAGGAAAAUCCAAAUAAUUAAGGGCUCACGUAAAAAUACUUUCUAUUACGCUGCUAGUCAUUUUCACCCUUCUGCUUAACUUUUGCCUUUAAAACAUCUGGACAGACAAGCAGGUGGGAUUAAUGGGAUAUCUGAAGCAAGACAAGGAUUGAGGCAACAAACACAUCCAGCUGGUGAGUUACACGCUAUGCUGUAUACCAUCCAUGUAACAUUCUCAAAUCUCAAUUUCCACCUUACAGUACUGCAGCAAGAAAGGAACACUGCAGGCUGUGCAGAGCUGAACAUCUGGCUCCUUUUAGGUCAACCGAAGCCACAGGGAACAUCAGUUCUGAAUGUUCAGAAAGAAACAUUUCAGAUGGUAAGGAAACAAGGCCUUUCUGAAUGGAAAGAUACAAUCAGAAGAAUACAGAGAAGUUCCUUCCACCACCCAGGGAGGCCUGAGUUGCUGUCUAGGUUUCUUUAGCCUAAAUCCAUAGUUAUCUCUAAUCUUCCAAAGCAGGGAAUUUUCUGAAGUUCCAGUUUGGCAGAGAUGGGGCUCUGUAAACAUUUGCUGGAGCGUUCCAAGACAACAGAUAUCCACGUAGAGACAAGAGAGCUGUAGUCCCAAUCCUGUGCCCACUGCGGCCAACGAACACAAGGCUACUGAUAUUACUGGGCACUGAUUCAGACCCUAAGGAACUAUAUAUUUUAAUUUAAAAAGUAUCAUAUAAAAAAACAUUUUAAACUAAAUAAAAACACAUUGAAAAGUUUUAAAAAAAACCUCCCCCAGGUGAUGGCUCCAUUGCAACUGGGGCUACUCACCAAGUAGAGCUCUACAGGCGAUCCUCCUCAUACCAUCUGUGCCUCCAGAUCAGGGCUCAAAUGCCUUAUUUCACAAUUAAAAAAAAACAGAGGUGUGACCAGUGCAGUUCACAAGAGUUUAAGUAUCUCCCAAUUUGUACCAAAAAGGUUCAUUUGUCUUGACAGUUCAUUUGUAUUUGCAACUAUAUCUUCC